rnacentral:rRNA from 1 species
UACGAAGGGGGCUAGCGUUGCUCGGAAUCACUGGGCGUAAAGCGCACGUAGGCGGCUUGUUAAGUCAGGGGUGAAAUCCUGGAGCUCAACUCCAGAACUGCCUUUGAUACUGGCGAGCUUGAGUUCGGGAGAGGUGAGUGGAACUGCGAGUGUAGAGGUGGAAUUCGUAGAUAUUCGCAAGAACACCAGUGGCGAAGGCGGCUCACUGGCCCGGUACUGACGCUGAGGUGCGAAAGCGUGGGGAGCAAACAGGG